GGCCAGGUAGCUCAACUGGUAGAACACUGCACCGGCAUUGCAGAGGUGACAGGGUUCAAACUCCUGUUUAGGUCU
rnacentral:tRNA from 1 species